rnacentral:lncRNA from 1 species
AGAUCUUUUAAAGCCAUCAGAACUAUUGCUGCCUAAGACAUGCAUGGCAAAUAAAAGUGUCUCACUGGAUUUCAAAUAAGGGGAAUAAUCAAUGUUAAGUGCUGCCUUGUUGGAUUUCUUCCUGAUUUUUUUGAAGCUCCGCUUCUUCUGUUUCAGAGCUAUGUUUCCCCAGUGGGCUACCACAUCUCUGGGUUUCCAGUACUUGGAAUUUUGCUUCCCAGUUGCAGAGCUAAGAAGCCAAUUCACAUUCCAUCGUUGUCCUAAAGUCUUUUUCCUAUUUUGAAUACCCCAUCUUGUCUGGAUCUAUCAAGGGGCUUGAAAAAUUUGUGCAGUGUUCCAAAAGCAGAGUAAAGGAGGAAAGGCCAGGAAGUAUGGAAGAGAGCCAGGCAAGUGGUGAGAGCCAAGAGUUCAGGUAAAUGAAAAGGCUUUACAUAAUGGGAGUUGCCCUGACAGAGAAAGUU